CCGCGGGCUCCUGCAAACUCCCGGUUAUAAUCCUGGUUUGUGACCUCAUGGCUGCUGCCUUUAGAAAUGAUAAUGAUCUAAAUAAACACAAAACCCUCUCGGGGCUCGGCAGGAACACUGGUGCCGUGGGGCAGGGUGUAAGGUAGGGACUUUGGAGAUGCCAUUCCCUGCUUCAGCAGUUGGAACCUUAGCUUCCCUGCCUGUGUGUCAUUCUUGUGCCCCCGUGUAUUGAUACAAUCUGAGGAGUUUAACUUCGCCAGGAAGGUGUGAAACACUUUUACCAAGACGUAAAUUGCUGGUGGAAUGUUUUCAUAAACACUUCAUGGAUGGGAAGGCUUCACUUCUUUCUGUACCUUCCAGCAAUAGGAUUGAUUUAAAUCAGUUCACAUCUGUCUUUGUAUACUCGUCAUUAUUCCCUCAAAUUCUUCUCAAAAGGAAAGUUGAGACCACCUUGUUGAAGAGGAUUUGCACCAAGUCUUCGUGCCUGAAUAUUUCUGUAAUUGACAAAAAGCAUGAAGAGCAGCUAUAUCCCCAGGGCCUCCUGAGAGUCUCUUGGUUACUGGGGCAAGAGGAGUAUUUCAGUGGCUGGUUUGGAAAACUUCAGCCAGAGUCACUCAAGGUCAGAGGAAAGUUGGACACUUCAGAGAAACAAAAUCCAGAGAGGCAGCUCUUCCCCAUAGCCUGGAAUUACAGCAGCAUACAAGCUGACAGGUCUCAAAGUGGAUAUAGCUUUUUCCACCUGCAAUCAAAUGUAAUAAACCAUCUUCACUGCAGAAGUCAAAUUCCUGGAAAAAAAGAAGUUGGAAGCUCACACUUACACCAUAAAACCUUGUUUAUUGCACCCAUCAGUCUUGGAAGAUAUGCCCCACAAUGGGGUUUGGUAAAGCCAUUACAAGACCACCAAGGAGAAAAAAUACAGAGAAU
rnacentral:lncRNA from 1 species